UGGGGAAUAUUGCACAAUGGGGGAAACCCUGAUGCAGCGACGCCGCGUGAACGAAGAAGGUAUUCGUAUCGUAAAGUUCUGUCCUAUGGGAAGAUAAUGACAGUACCAUAGAAGAAAGCUCCGGCUAAAUACGUGCCAGCAGCCGCGGUAAUACGUAUGGAGCGAGCGUUGUCCGGAAUUAUUGGGGGUAAAGGGUACGCAGGCGGUUUAAUAAGUCGAAUGUUAAAGAUCGGUGCUCAACCCCGCAAAGCAUUAGAAACUGAUAAACUUGAGUAGUGGAGAGGAAAGUGGAAUUCCUAGUGUAGUGGUGAAAUACGUAGAUAUUAGGAGGAAUACCAGUAGCGAAGGCGGCUUUCUGGACACAAACUGACGCUGAGGUACGAAAGAGUGGGGAGCAAACAGG
rnacentral:rRNA from 1 species